rnacentral:rRNA from 1 species
GACGAACCGUGCGAACGUUAUUCGGAAUCACUGGGCUUAAAGCGCGUGUAGGCGGGAGGGCACGUCCGGCGCUGAAAUCCCCCGGCUCAACCGGGGAACGGGCGCGGAUACGACCUUCCUCGAGGGACGUAGGGGGACCUGGAACUUCCGGUGGAGCGGUGAAAUGCGUUGAGAUCGGAAGGAACGCCCGUGGCGAAAGCGAGGUCCUGGACGUUUACUGACGCUGAGACGCGAAAGCCAGGGGAGCGAACGGG